rnacentral:rRNA from 1 species
CUGCAACUCGCCUGCAUGAAGUCGGAAUUGCUAGUAAUCGCGGAUCAGCAUGCCGCGGUGAAUACGUUCCCGGGCCUUGUACACACCGCCCGUCACACCAUGAGAGCCGGUAACACCCGAAGUCAGAAGCCUAACCGCAAGGAGGGCGCUGCCGAAGGUGGGAUUGGUAAUUGGGGUGAAGUCGUAACAAGGUAUC